UACGUAGGGGGCAAGCGUUGUCCGGAUUUAUUGGGCGUAAAGAGCGUGUAGGCGGCCAGGUAGGUCUGCUGUGAAAACUCGAGGCUCAACCUCGAGACGCCGAUGGAAACCGUCUGGCUAGAGUCCGGAAGAGGAGAGUGGAAUUCCUGGUGUAGCGGUGAAAUGCGCAGAUAUCAGGAAGAACACCCGUGGCUAAGGCGGCUCUCUAGUACGGUACUGACGCUGAGGAGCGAAAGCGUGGGGAGCGAACAGG
rnacentral:rRNA from 1 species